rnacentral:lncRNA from 1 species
UAGUAGCUCUUUCUCAGUUGACUUAGAUAUAAGCCCCUGACCCUGCAAAUGUUUACUAACAUUUGACUGUAUGAAAAUACCGAAUGGCGGUUUUGAGCAUGUGCCCGAGUUUUAUAGGCUAUGGUCCUUGCUGUUUUACUCACUCUGAGGUCUGUUUUUAUGUGAUGAAGGGGCUACUUACCUCUUUUGACUGGUUGUUGUGCAGUUUAGCACUAAAUGCAACAUAGGUCUGCUUGGUUUAAAGUAUAUGUUUGCGAUGAUUCUUAAAUCAAAUUUACCAGUACAACCAUAGCAUGUAUAGUUUUUUAUUUUUAUUUUUUUCGAUCUUAGUACAUCACCAAUAAGUCACUUCAUCCAUUUUCUGGUGACAUGUGUACAUUGUCCCCUGUGCCUAAUGGCUUUCUGCUAAAGAGUAUUUUUUUAUUUAACUUUUUGUUUUGGCAUGUUGAAUAGACCUAGUUAACUAAUUAUUUUCCUAUAAUAUUACUAAAAGUCUUAGGUUCCUAUUGCUCAGGAAAGGAAAUUUUCUAGGCAUAUCAACAAAUAAGAAAAACUAGAAAAGACAAUAAUUUAUUUUUAUUUUGUCUUUAAUGAGUUGCAUUUUACAAAACACUUCACACUUUAAACAUGCCUUUUCUUUUCUAAUAGAUAACUGCCUACAAUAGACGUACCUUUGAGACUGCAAGGCAUAACUUGAUAAUUAAUAUAAUGUCAGCAGAAGGUAAGUAUGGAAAGUAUGUUGGUAAUCAUGUCUUACUUAUAAGAAGGGUUUCGUUGUGCUUAUAAACAUACAGUAUAAUUAUGGAUUGCAGAGUUGGUAUUCCAGUUGUAAUUGAUGACGUAGUAAAAUGUAGGAAAGACAUAUGAGCCAUUGGAGCUUUCUAUAAAAAUGGUGUGCUGUGGUGAAAACCAGGAAAGUCCUUCAGCAGAUGCCCUGCUGAGUUCUUUACGCCUUGCGGCAUCAGCGGGUGACAUAAUAUUCAGAGCUUCCCUGGAUAAGGUCUCAAGCCUGAGAGUUAGGUCUAAGAACACAUGGUAGUUAUUAGGUAGCUUCAUAUUUAACAUUAGAGUUGUUCUAAGUAGUGGCUUCGCUUCAGGUAAAGACAAACUGAGAUUCGGGGACUUGAGGUAGACAAUUUGCUAAUUAGCUAAAUUUGCUUAUUAUGUCAGUAACUGUCAGAGUCUAUCAACUACUUAGAGGAACAUGCUCACUCUAGAUGAUUUCUUGAGGACGUUGAAGGCCAGGGACACAGGAAAUAUUCUUAAAAGUUAUGCUCUCAAAUAUUUUAACCUCAUUUUGACAUAGAAUAGGAAACAUUAGUGAGGGGAGAAGUUCAUGGGAGGUACUAGAGGAGGCAAGGGGAAAAUAGUACCACCCCAUAUCCAAAACUUGAGGCUUAAAUUGUUUUCUCAAGACAGGAUUUCUCUGGAGGUUCUGGAACUUGCGCUUGCCAACCAGGCUGGCCUCGAACUCAUAGAGAUCCACUUGUUGAGGCUUAAAUAUUAAGAAAGAGAAAAUUAGAAAAUUAGAAAAUCAUGGGCUAAUAAUGUCUUCGAUACUUCUGCCAGGUAAGGCGUUGGCAGGAAGGGAAUGGUUGCAGAUCUGUCUUUUCCCCUGAAAUAAAGCAAAGAAGUGUAUAUUCUCUAUCGGGACUUGCUUCUUCUGUUUAUUGGUAGAAAACAAACAGGCAAACAAAAGGAUUUUGCCAGAACCUAAUACUUUGAAAUUCAUGAUAACUCAGUAAAUCUGGGUUAAAACUUGCCCUUUGACUGUAUAAAAGAAAGCACUAUCUAGGAAUUUGACAGUAUGUACCUGGAGAAGACUGCUUGAAGACUCGAACCACCUUCUGUGGGUCUUUCCCUAGAUGAUUUAACAGUUCCAACUGGAGACAGCUAUGACAGGUUAAAAUGCAAAGUGCCCUUUACAGGGGACUGGCUUUAUGGGCUACCCCACAUGCUUUAUUAGGUGGCCAUAGCUUAGGGAGACUGGUUCUGGGCUCCAUUGGGAUUGAAUAGUUCUAUCUCGUUUAACAUAUUCCUUUAGAGGUGGGAACUCUAAGUGAGCAGAGUCAUUGGUCUUUUCCUUCCCAUUUGUGGGUUCACGGUUAAAGUCACAUAUUGAAAAUAUGGUGACUUUGGUCCCUUGAACCUUAUAAUUACAGGCUCAAGAGACCAAGUCUUUGUCAGAUAGGGCAGACUGGAAGAGAUCUUAGUCUACAGUUGGACCUUCUUCUCUCUCUAGCAGAGACUGUAGAAAGUAAGUGUUUAGAACCUAUUCUAGGUGUUAUUGUCACAUGGAGACCCAUAUUCAUGCAGUUCCUGAUGUAAGAAUGAGUACUACACAGCUGGAGGGUCGCACACACUAGUAAUUGUUUCCCUGCACAAAGUAGUUCAAAGCUGUGUUAGUAAGGGAGCAAGAGAAGAGUUAUUUGAACUUCAGGCAGAUCUGUUCGACUUCUUUCUACUUAAGGUUAAGUGACCCCAAACAGUAUGAAAACCACAAAACUAAAAAGGUCACGAAUCUGUCCUUGUCAGUCUAGACAAGAUUCAUAUGCAUUUGAGAAUGAACAUCUUUGAACAUGGCCUUCACUCAUGCUACUUGUCCUGGAUAAGGUUUAGAAAAAGGAACAACAAAGUUGUAAAUCAGAAUCAUCAUACUCAGCAGCCCAGCUCUUCAGGCCAGGCCAGCUCUCUUCUACUCUGAGUGACCUAAUGGGAAAUUAGUCAUCUAGCCUCACACAGCAUGGUGCUCAAGGAGAGUACAGAAAGUGAAUCCCUAAAUUGGGUUUAGCACCUCAGAGGCCUGCCACCAAUCCACUGGCCUACUGUUCUCUUGGCCUCUUUGAUUUCCAAAUAUAGCAAGUAUGGGAUUUCCCCAGAGUUAGAAAGCUCCUGUGACUCACUCUGGAGAGACCUGGCAGUAGUUCUUGGCCCAGUAGAUAGCAGGCGAGCCCCACAGCCUAGAGCCCCAGAGGGGUUGCAACCACAGGCCUUGUAGUAGAUUGCAGAAAGGGAUCACUAAGGGUGGUUGACUGGACAACCACAGAGUGUCUAUGUUCAGUGGUAGCAUUGAAUAAGAUGGGUUGGGUGGGGUGGAGGCUUUCUGUGUUCUUCUGGAACCUUGAUCGUAAAAACAUUUAGGAAAAAAAAUUACAGAACAUGUCAUAUAUCCCAAACUAUAUAUUCUAUGAUUAAAAAUAUUAUUUCAUUUGCCACUGAGAAACUCUUGUUCCUCAUGAUUCAUUUCUGUGACUAUUUCUAGGCAUGGGAAAGGUGUCACAUCAUUAAGGUACCAUAGUAUGUAAAAAGGAAACGUGUUUGUAUAAACUGUAAAUUUACCUGCAAGAAUGAGGAUGAAGAGUCCAUAUUUUAGAAGCCUACAGAUGGGCUGUGUGUUGAAUAAAUUUAUAAAACCUUGAGCCAAAUCAGUGCCUGCUGGAGAAGAGGAAGAGGUUUGUGAGUAGGACCUCACAGAGCUGUGUCUUUAGCAGUGGUCACCACCUGCUACUGGGCUCUGGAGAAAACCCUACAGCCAGAGUUGGCUCCCUCACCAAAUCUCUGGUAUCUAGUGUCCAUUAAUAUCAAAGACGCUUCCAAGAAGGGAGGUCAUGAAGAUGUGAGGUGCUUAUGUAUUUUUAUCUUCCAUGUAUGAAGCAAGAGUAGAUUAAUUUAGAGAUUCAUGAGUUUUGUUGAAAUCAAUUAGAGGAUGUACACGAGGUAAUUGUACUAGAGGCAUGAAGUCUGCUUAGAGCUCACAAGUAUUCACAUAACCAACCUUUUCAUGUUAGAAUCCGGGCUAACAGUUUAAAAUUUCACAAGUUUUUGCCAUAUGUUUGUAGUAUGAUAACCAUGUUAUAGACAUGGUUUUCUAAAGAAAAAUUAGAUGAAAUAAAUUCAAAUUACUGUGUGUUUCUGAAUGUCUCCAAAGGUAAUUUUCCACUGAAAGUAUAAGGGAAAAUACAAGCCCCCAGUGACUUUCCUGCUGUUAUAAUCCACAUGAAUCUCUUCAUUGGUUCUAUUUCAUAGAUAGCUAUUAACGUAACUCAUAAUUGCAGAAAUAGUAUUAUAUAAGAAGAAAACAUUUUUAAUUUUAAAAAAAUCAUAAGAAAAAUUGUUAGUAACCCAAGAUUAACACCUGAGAAAACUGAAUUUUAUAUUAGGUUUAUUUAAAAUAUACAUUUAAAAAAAAUUAAGGAGAUUUUUAGUGUAAAUUUUUGGGAAGGAAACCCACCAGGAAUUGGCUUCUAGAUCCCUUUGGCUACUCAAAUCUGAAAAACCUCAAAUCCCCUAGAUGAAAUGGCAUCAUAUUUACAUAUGACCUGCAUACAUCCUCCUAUAUGUGCACCACCUAGGUAUAGGUGAUGAUGACAUACUUAUUGCGUAUACACACACACACACAUAUAUAUAUAUAUACUG